AACGAACGCUGGCGGCAUGCCUAACACAUGCAAGUCGAACGAAGCCUUCGGGCUUAGUGGCGCACGGGUGCGUAACGCGUGGGAAUCUGCCCCUUGGUUCGGAACAACAGUUAGAAAUGACUGCUAAUACCGGAUAACGACGAAAGUCCAAAGAUUUAUCGCCGAGGGAUGAGCCCGCGUAAGAUUAGGUAGUUUGGUGGGGUAAUGGCCUACCAAGCCGACGAUCUUUAGCUGGUCUGAGAGGAUGAUCAGCCACACUGGGACUGAGACACGGCCCAGACUCCUACGGGAGGCAGCAGUGGGGAAUAUUGGACAAUGGGCGAAAGCCUGAUCCAGCAAUGCCGCGUGAGUGAUGAAGGCCUUAGGGUUGUAAAGCUCUUUUACCAGGGAUGAUAAUGACAGUACCUGGAGAAUAAGCUCCGGCUAACUCCGUG
rnacentral:rRNA from 1 species